AGUAGAAUUGAAAGUGUUAAUUUGCACUGUUGUAAGGUUUUAACUGAAUAUUUAAAAAAGCACCUUCUUCUUGUCAUGUGAUAUGGCCUUUUAUUGUUCUUUAUGUAUCUUGGGGAGAAAACUAAAGAAAUGCAGUGUAUACUGUAAUUACAAUGAUAUUUUUAUUUCAUUUUUUUCCAAACGUUUUCAACAGAGCAAGAGCAUAUCAAUGGGAAUAUGCAUGUGUUUCUCAUUAAUGCCAUGUUAUAUUUUUGGCUGCUGCUUCACUUUGAAUGCAUGUUACACAGUUGAAUUGUACAUUUCAAUUUUAAUGUUAAUGUUAGUGAUUCAUUGGUGUUAAUAACAAAAUAAAACAUUUCAUUAUAUAUUGUAUUUCAGUUGCUGCUUUGUGGUAAAAGUAUAUGCAUAGAGAAAAUGAUUACAUUGAUUUGGUCAAAUUCAUCAAAACAAAAUAACAUUUACAUAAUUGUAGUGAAUAAUAUAUCUGCAGACAUAGAAGGAAUUUAAAAGGUCAAACAGAAUAAAUGUAAUAAAAUGUACCUAUUGACUUCAUCACAGUAAAUAUCACUGAUAUAUAAGAUUUACUUUAUAUUUUUAUGACAGCAAUGUCUCGUAUAUGAAAAUAUAUAAUUGACUUUACUCAGUUAAACUAAAUAUAACUUGUAAUGUAGAAAUAAUUAAACAACAUUUACUUUAUAUUUUUACUAAAGUUUAGUUGAGUGGUGAGUAAAUUUGACUUGAUACUGGCAACUGAGUUGUACUUGAUAUUUCAGCAGUAAUAUUUACUUAAACAUUGUUACAGAGAUUAUAUUAAGUAAAUCUUACCAGUUGUUUUUUUCAGUGUCCUUUCCCCCCUUUUCCUUUGCAUGGACAGGGGGGGACACACUGGAGAUGGCCAAGGCCAUCUGGCAUCUACUUUUCUCCACCAAAAACCUGAGGUCCAAGGGCUGUAUGAGGCAGAGCAGAGGGGGAAAGAGAGGGCAAGGACAUGAAGAAAGGAUGCUCCUCGGUUGUACACCGCUCUGCAUUCAUGGAGCUGUGACUGUUCCUUCCUGAGGGUGCAGCACGGGGAAGGUACGCCGGGUCACCUCACUUUCCUCUCUCAACCAAUAACACAACAUAUUCUGACUGUCAAUCCCCAACAAACAGCCACCCUCCUCAGAGUCUUUUUGUGCCACCCAGACUGAGAGUUUGAACGCACGCACAAACCCUAACCGUCCUGUAUCAGCAAACCACAGAGCCACUAACACCCACGUUGUUCUUUUAUUUUCUGACAAAUGUCUGUCUUUACUCUUCUGUUCUGUACACAUUCUUUCUGUCUUUGUCCUGUUGUUCUGUAUUUUGUUUCUCGUGUUAAAAUAAUAAAAGAAAACUCAAGAACAUCCUCAGAA